CUCUUAGAGCGUGUCAGAAGCUUAAUCCCUAAUGGGGGUUAGGGCAGAACACUUUAAAAGGAUGCACACUCCUUAGACGAGAGUCUAAAAAACUUAAUUGGCGGCAUAGCUGAGUAGCAUUUUGCGAAAACUUAUGCCGCUU
rnacentral:ncRNA from 20 species